AGUCGAGCGAACGGACGAGAAGCUUGCUUUUCUGAUGUUAGCGGCGGACGGGUGAGUAACACGUGGAUAACCUACCUAUAAGACUGGGAUAACUUCGGGAAACCGGAGCUAAUACCGGAUAAUAUUUUGAACCGCAUGGUUCAAAAGUGAAAGACGGUCUUGCUGUCACUUAUAGAUGGAUCCGCGCUGCAUUAGCUAGUUGGUAAGGUAACGGCUUACCAAGGCAACGAUGCAUAGCCGACCUGAGAGGGUGAUCGGCCACACUGGAACUGAGACACGGUCCAGACUCCUACGGGAGGCAGCAGUAGGGAAUCUUCCGCAAUGGGCGAAAGCCUGACGGAGCAACGCCGCGUGAGUGAUGAAGGUCUUCGGAUCGUCAAACUCUGUUAUUAGGGAAGAACAUAUGUGUAAGUAACUGUGCACAUCUUGACGGUACCUAAUCAGAAAGCCACGGCUAACUACGUGCCAGCAGCCGCGGUAAUACGUAGGUGGCAAGCGUUAUCCGGAAUUAUUGGGCGUAAAGCGCGCGUAGGCGGUUUUUUAAGUCUGAUGUGAAAGCCCACGGCUCAACCGUGGAGGGUCAUUGGAAACUGGAAAACUUGAGUGCAGAAGAGGAAAGUGGAAUUCCAUGUGUAGCGGUGAAAUGCGCAGAGAUAUGGAGGAACACCAGUGGCGAAGGCGACUUUCUGGUCUGUAACUGACGCUGAUGUGCGAA
rnacentral:rRNA from 1 species